CCUACGGGUGGCUGCAGUGAGGAAUAUUGGUCAAUGGGCGGGAGCCUGAACCAGCCAAGCCGCGUGAGGGAAGAAGGUACAGCGUAUCGUAAACCUCUUUUGUCAGGGAACAAAGGCGGGGACUAUUCCCCGGAUGAGGGUACCUGAAGAAAAAGCAUCGGCUAACUCCGUGCCAGCAGCCGCGGUAAUUCGUAUGGGGCAAGCGUUAUCCGGAUUUACUGGGUGUAAAGGGAGCGUAGGCGGUCUGGCAAGCCUGAUGUGAAAUACCGGGGCCCAACCCCGGGGCUGCAUUGGGAACUGCCAGGCUGGAGUGCCGGAGAGGCAGGCGGAAUUCCUAGUGUAGCGGUGAAAUGCGUAGAUAUUAGGAGGAACACCAGUGGCGAAGGCGGCCUGCUGGACGGUGACUGACGCUGAGGCUCGAAAGCGUGGGGAGCAAACAGGAUUAGAUACCCGAGUAGUC
rnacentral:rRNA from 1 species